rnacentral:rRNA from 1 species
AACGAACGCUGGCGGCAUGCCUAACACAUGCAAGUCGAACGAGACCUUCGGGUCUAGUGGCGCACGGGUGCGUAACGCGUGGGAAUCUGCCCUUGGGUUCGGAAUAACAGUUAGAAAUGACUGCUAAUACCGGAUAAUGACGUAAGUCCAAAGAUUUAUCGCCCAAGGAUGAGCCCGCGUAGGAUUAGCUUGUUGGUGAGGUAAAGGCUCACCAAGGCGACGAUCCUUAGCUGGUCUGAGAGGAUGAUCAGCCACACUGGGACUGAGACACGGCCCAGACUCCUACGGGAGGCAGCAGUGGGGAAUAUUGGACAAUGGGCGAAAGCCUGAUCCAGCAAUGCCGCGUGAGUGAUGAAGGCCUUAGGGUUGUAAAGCUCUUUUACCCGGGAUGAUAAUGACAGUACCGGGAGAAUAAGCCCCGGCUAACUCCGUGCCAGCAGCCGCAGUAAAAC